rnacentral:rRNA from 1 species
UGGGGAAUUUUGGACAAUGGGCGCAAGCCUGAUCCAGCCAUGCCGCGUGAGUGAUGAAGGCCUUCGGGUUGUAAAGCUCUUUAGUCCACGAAUAUAAUGACUGUAGUGGAAGAAUAAGCCCCGGCUAACUUCGUGCCAGCAGCCGCGGUAAUACGAAGGGGGCGAGCGUUGUUCGGAAUCACUGGGCGUAAAGAGUGCGUAGGCGGUUAUGAAAGUUAGAAGUGAAAGCCCAGGGCUUAACCUUGGAAUUGCUUUUAAAACUACAUGACUCGAAUUCGGGAGAGGAUAGCGGAAUUGUCAGUGUAGCAGUGAAAUGCGUAGAUAUUGACAGGAACACCAGUGGCGUAAGCGGCUAUCUGGACCGACAUUGACGCUGAGGCACGAAAGCGUGGGGAUCAAA